AGUGAAAUGUGAUAUGUAAUGUGAAUUGCAGAAUUCAGUGAAUCAUCAAAUCUUUGAACGCAUCUUGUGCCUUUUGGUAUUCCAAAAGGCACACCUGUUUGAGUG
rnacentral:rRNA from 1 species